rnacentral:rRNA from 1 species
CGCCAGACUCCUACGGGAGGCAGCAGUGGGGGAUAUUGCACAAUGGGGGGAACCCUGAUGCAGCGACGCCGCGUGGGUGAAGGAGCGUUUCGGCGCGUAAAGCCCUAUCGGCAGGGAAGAAGGAGGACGGUACCUGACUAAGAAGCCCCGGCUAACUACGUGCCAGCAGCCGCGGUAAUACGUAGGGGGCAAGCGUUAUCCGGAUUCACUGGGUGUAAAGGGAGCGUAGACGGCGACGCAAGUCUGGAGUGAAAGCCCGGGGCCCAACCCCGGGACUGCUCUGGAAACUGCGUCGCUGGAGUACGGGAGGGGCAGGCGGAAUUCCUGGUGUAGCGGUGAAAUGCGUAGAUAUCAGGAGGAACACCGGCGGCGAAGGCGGCCUGCUGGACCGUGACUGACGUUGAGGCUCGAGAGCGUGGGGAGCAAACAGGAUUAGAUACCCCCGUAAA